GCGGAAGGAUCAUUACACAAAUAUAGAAGGCGGGCUGGAACCUCUCGGGGUUACAGCCUUGCUGAAUUAUUCACCCUUGUCUUUUGCGUACUUCUUGUUUCCUUGGUGGGUUCGCCCACCACUAGGACAAACAUAAACCUUUUGUAAUUGCAAUCAGCGUCAGUAACAAAUUAAUAAUUACAACUUUCAACAACGGAUCUCUUGGUUCUGGCAUCGAUGAAGAACGCAGCGAAAUGCGAUAAGUAGUGUGAAUUGCAGAAUUCAGUGAAUCAUCGAAUCUUUGAACGCACAUUGCGCCCUUUGGUAUUCCAAAGGGCAUGCCUGUUCGAGCGUCAUUUGUACCCUCAAGCUUUGCUUGGUGUUGGGCGUCUUGUCUCUAGCUUUGCUGGAGACUCGCCUUAAAGUAAUUGGCAGCCGGCCUACUGGUUUCGGAGCGCAGCACAAGUCGCACUCUCUAUCAGCAAAGGUCUAGCAUCCACUAAGCCUUUUUUUCAACUUUUGACCUCGGA
rnacentral:rRNA from 1 species